UGUGCGAAGGUAGCAUAAUCAUUAGUCUUUUAAUUGAAGGCUUGUAUGAAUGGUUGGACAAAAAGUAAUCUGUCUCAAUUGUAAUAGUUGAACUUAACUUUUAAGUGAAAAGGCUUAAAUACUUUAAGGGGACGAUAAGACCCUAUAAAACUUGACAAUAAAUUAGUUAAAUUAUAAAUUGUUAGUAUAACUUGAUCUUAAUUAAUGUUUGUUGCGUUGGGGCGACGGGAAUAUAAUUAGUAACUGUUCUUAAAUACUUAUUAACAAGUAUAAUUGAAAAAUAAUUGAUCCUUUAUUAAAGAUUAAAAGAUUAAGUUACUUUAGGGAUAACAGCGUAAUCUUCUUUGAGAGUCCUCAUCGACAAGAAGGUUUGCGACCCCGAUGUUGAAUUAAGGA
rnacentral:rRNA from 1 species